AGAGAGAGACAUGCGCGCAUAUCAAUAAGCGGAGGAAAAGAAACUAACUAGGAUUCCCCUAGUAACGGCGAGUGAAGCGGGAAGAGCUCAAAUUUGAAAUCUUAAAGGUUCUACCUUGACGAAUUGUAGUUUAAAGAAGUGUUUUCUGUUGGAGUUUUGGUAAAAGUUCUUUGGAAUAGGACAUCAUAGAGGGUGAGAAUCCCGUAUUUGACCAUUAUUUCCAGCUUUGUGAUACACUUUCAAGGAGUCGGAUUGUUUGGGAAUGCAGUCCAAAAUGGGUGGUAAAUUUCAUCUAAAGCUAAAUAUUGGCGAGAGACCGAUAGCGAACAAGUACCGUGAGGGAAAGAUGAAAAGAACUUUGAAAAGAGAGUUAAACAGUACGUGAAAUUGUCAAAAGGGAAGCGUUUGACACCAGUGUUGUUUUUCUGAAAAUCAAUUAAAGAACUGUUUAUGCUAAGCUGUUUAGACUUUAUCAGCUAAUCUGUUUAGUUUUGAGCUUUUCUUUAAUGCACUUUUCAGUUAACAAGUCAACAUCAAUUUCUUUUGCUGUAAAAAAGCUUGAGGAAGGUGGCUUGAGAUUCGUCUUAAGUGUUUAUAGCCUCUUGCCUAUGCAGUCGGAGAGAUUGAGGUCUGCAGCGUAGAUCCUUCGGGGCUAAAUGCAUUUGUGCUAAGUUAUAGCAUUUUAUAGACAACUUGUUGACUAUGAUUUGUCUUGUAGCUUACUCGCUUAUGUUAUUUUACCUACGCUUAGGAUGUUGAGCGCAUGUCUCUCUCU
rnacentral:rRNA from 1 species